rnacentral:rRNA from 1 species
AGUGAACGCUGGCGGUAGGCCUAACACAUGCAAGUCGAACGGCAGCACAGUAAGAGCUUGCUCUUACGGGUGGCGAGUGGCGGACGGGUGAGGAAUACAUCGGAAUCUACUUUUUCGUGGGGGAUAACGUAGGGAAACUUACGCUAAUACCGCAUACGACCUACGGGUGAAAGCAGGGGAUCUUCGGACCUUGCGCGAUUGAAUGAGCCGAUUUCGGAUUAGCUAGUUGGCGGGGUAAAGGCCCACCAAGGCGACGAUCCGUAGCUGGUCUGAGAGGAUGAUCAGCCAAACUGGAACUGAGACACGGUCCAGACUCCUACGGGAGGCAACAGUGGGGAAUAUUGGACAAUGGGCGCAAGCCUGAUCCAGCCAUACCGCGUGGGUGAAGAAGGCCUUCGGGUUGUAAAGCCCUUUUGUUGGGAAAGAAAAGAAGCAGGUUAAUACCCCGCUGUUCUGACGGUACCCAAAGAAUAAGCACCGGCUAACUUCGUG